UACGUAGGUGGCAAGCGUUUGUCCGGAUUUACUGGGCGUAAAGAGCGCGCAGGCGGUCGUUCAAGUCGCGUGUGAAAGCCCCCGGCUCAACUGGGGAGGGUCACGCGAUACUGAUCGACUCGAAGGCAGGAGAGGGAAGUGGAAUUCCCGGUGUAGUGGUGAAAUGCGCAGAUAUCAGGAGGAACACCAGUGGCGAAGGCGGUUCUCUGGGCAUUACCUGACGCUGAGGAGCGAAAGCGUGGGGAGCGAACAGG
rnacentral:rRNA from 1 species